UACAGAGGUCUCAAGCGUUGUUCGGAUUCAUUGGGCGUAAAGGGUGCGUAGGUGGUGAGGUAAGUCGGAUGUGAAAUCUCCGGGCUCAACCCGGAAAUGGCAUUGGAAACUACCUUGCUUGAGGGUUUGAGGGGGGAUUGGAAUACUUGGUGUAGCAGUGAAAUGCGUAGAUAUCAAGUGGAACACCAGUGGCGAAGGCGAAUCCCUGGAAAAUACCUGACACUGAGGCACGAAAGCUAGGGGAGCAAACAGG
rnacentral:rRNA from 1 species